rnacentral:rRNA from 1 species
UGGGGAUAUUGCACAAUGGGGGGAAACCCGUGAUGCAGCAACGCCGCGUGAGGGAAGACGGUUUUCGGAUUGUAAACCUUUGUCUUUGGUGAAGAAGAAAGUGACGGUAGCCAAGGAGGAAGCCACGGCUAACUACGUGCCAGCAGCCGCGGUAAUACGUAGGUGGCAAGCGUUGUCCGGAAUUACUGGGUGUAAAGGGAGCGCAGGCGGGAGCGCAAGUUGGAUGUGAAAUCCAUGGGCUCAACCCGUGAACUGCUUUCAAAACUGUUUUUCUUGAGUAGUGCAGAGGUAGGCGGAAUUCCCGGUGUAGCGGUGGAAUGCGUAGAUAUCGGGAGGAACACCAGUGGCGAAGGCGGCCUACUGGGCACCAACUGACGCUGAGGCUCGAAAGUGUGGGUAGCAAACAGGAUUAGAUACCCUGGUAGU